rnacentral:lncRNA from 1 species
GUGUCUUGGGUUGGGUAUGGGGUGGAUAUGGGGUGGGUAUGGGGUGGAUAUGGGGUGAAUAUGGAAUGGUAUGGGGUUAUGGGGGGCUGUGGGGUGGAUAUGGGGCUCUAUGGGGUCUCUAUGGGUUCCUUUGGGGUCUCUAUGGGUCUGUAUGGGGUCUCUGUGGGUUUGAAAAGGUCUUUAUGGGGUCCCUAUGGGGUCUCUGUGGGUCUCUGUGGGGCUCUAUGUGUCUCUAUGGGGUCUUUUUGGGUUCUUGUGGGUCUCUAUGGGAUCUAUGGGGUCUCUGUGGGGUGCUGAUGUUCUCCAUGGGUCUCUAUGGGAUUCCUAUGGGUCUUGGUGGGAUCUAUGGGUCCCUAUGGGUUUCUAUGGGGUCCCUAUAGGUGCCUAUGGGAUCUAUGGGUCUCUAUGGGGUCUCUUUGGGUCCCUAUAGGGUCCCUAUGGGAUCUGUGGGUCUCUAUGGGAUCUGUGGGCUCUGUGGGGCUCUGUGGGUCGCUAUGGGGUCUCUAUGGAGUCCCUAUGGGGUUUCUGUGGGGCCUCAAUGGGUCCCUAUGGGUCUCUAUGGGGUUUCUGUGGGGUCCCAAUGGGAUCUGUGGGUCUCUAUGGGUCUUUAUGGGUCCCUAUGGGUCCCUAUGGGUCCCUAUGGGAUCUGUGGGUAUUUAUGGGUCUCUAUGGGGUUUCUAUGGGGCCUCUGUGGGUCCCUAUGGGGUCCCUAUGGGAUCUAUGGGUUUCUAUGGGGUCCCUAUGGGUCCCUAUGGGUCUCUAUGGGUCCCUAUGGGAUCCCUAUGGGAUCUAUGGGUCUCUAUGGGGUCUCUAUGGGUCCCUAUGGAUCUCUAUGGGUUUCUAUGGGUCCCUAUGGGUCUUUAUGGGUUCCUAUGGGUCUCUAUGGGUCCCUAUGGGGUCCCUAUGGGAUCUAUGGGUUUCUAUGGGGUCCCUAUGGGGUCCCUAUGGGUCUCUAUGGGGUCUCUAUGGGGUUUCUAUGGGGUCCCUAUGGGUCACAGUGGCUCCUGCCCCAUAGGAAAAAGUCGACCCGACGGCCGCCUCCAAUCCCGACCUGCACCUGAACCGCGCCACGCUGCUGCAGUUCGAGGAGAACUACGGGGCCGCCCUGGAUGGUUACGCACGGGCGGCGGCUCUGGCUCCUGAUUGGCCGGAACCGCGCAUGCGCCGCGCCAGGCUGCUGGAUUACCUGGGGCGGAUCUGCGCAGCUCUGGGUGGAGCGGUGAGCCGGAAGUGGGCGGGGCGUGAGCCGGAAGUGGGCGGGGUUU